rnacentral:rRNA from 1 species
UACAGAGGUCUCAAGCGUUGUUCGGAUUCAUUGGGCGUAAAGGGUGCGUAGGCGGCGCGGUAAGUCGGGUGUGAAAUCUCGGGGCUUAACUCCGAAACUGCAUUCGAUACUGCCGUGCUUGAGGACUGGAGAGGAGACUGGAAUUUACGGUGUAGCAGUGAAAUGCGUAGAUAUCAGGAGGAACACCGGUGGCGAAGGCGGAUCUCUGGGCCUUACCUAACGCUCAGGCGCGAAAGCUAGGGGAGCGAACAGG